GAUGAACGCUGGCGGCGUGCCUAAUACAUGCAAGUCGAGCGAACAGAUGAGGAGCUUGCUCCUCUGACGUUAGCGGCGGACGGGUGAGUAACACGUGGAUCACCUACCUAUAAGACUGGGAUAACUUCGGGAAACCGGAGCUAAUACCGGAUAGUAUAUUGCACCGUAUGGUUCAAUAGUGAAAGACGGUUUUGCUGUCACUUAUAGAUGGAUCCGCGCCGCAUUAGCUAGUUGGUAAGGUAACGGCUUACCAAGGCGACGAUGCGUAGCCGACCUGAGAGGGUGAUCGGCCACACUGGAACUGGGACACGGUCCAGACGCCUGAGAGAGGCAGCAGUAGGGAAUCGGCCGCAAUGGGCGAGAGCAUGACGGAGCAACGCCGCGUGAGAGAUGAAGGUCUUGGGAUCGUAAAACUCUGUUAUUAGGGAAGAACAAAUGUGGAAGUAACUAUGCACGGCGUGACGGUACCUAAUCAGAAAGCCACGGCUAACUACGUG
rnacentral:rRNA from 1 species